UGCCUGUUUUUUUAAAAACAUGUCUUUUUGAUUGUUUAAAAGGUUGGCCCUGCUCAAUGAUUUUUUAAUAGCCGCGGUAUCAUGACUGUGCAAAGGUAGCAUAAUAAUUAGUCUUUUAAUUGAGGUYUGGAAUGAAUGGGUUGACGAAAAAUUAACUUUAUUUAUUUUAUUAGUUUGAAUUUAAUUUUUUAGUUAAAAAGCUUAAAUUUUAAAGAGGGACGAUAAGACCCUAUAGAUYUUAAUUUUUUUUUUAUUAUUUUUUUUUGAUUUUUAUUUUAAUAAUUUUUAAAAAUUUUACUGGGGUGGUGGUUAAAAUAUUAAACUUUAAUUUUUUUUUACUUUUAUUUUUGGUUAGUUUGAUCCUUUAUUGGAUAUUAAGAUAAAGAUACCUUAGGGAUAACAGCGUUAUAUAUCUGGAGAGUUCAAAUUGAUAGAUAUGUUUGCGACCUCGAUGUUGGAUUAAAUUUAAUUAUGAGGCAGGUUUCAUAAUGUUAGGUCUGUUCGACCUUUAAAAUUUUACAUGAUCUGAUUCAAAACCGGA
rnacentral:rRNA from 1 species